rnacentral:rRNA from 1 species
UACAGAGGGGGCAAGCGUUGUUCGGAAUUACUGGGCGUAAAGGGCGCGUAGGCGGCCUGCUAAGUCGAACGUGAAAUCCCCGGGCUCAACCCGGGAACUGCGUCCGAUACUGGCAGGCUUGAGUCCGGAAGAGGAGAGUGGAAUUCCCGGUGUAGCGGUGAAAUGCGCAGAUAUCGGGAAGAACACCCGUGGCGAAGGCGGCUCUCUGGGACGGUACUGACGCUGAGACGCGAAAGCGUGGGGAGCGAACAGG